GCUCAGCUCGUAGCCAAAGAGAGGGCUGGCGUCCGGCGGGGCGGCGGCGGCCACCAGGCAGUUCCAUCUCUCGUAUCUGAACUGGCUCCUGCACUCCUGAAUGCCCAGCCGGGCGCCCUCGCAGAUGCUCGGCAGCAGACAACGUAAAAAGAAGGCCAGCCGUGGUAGGGGCUCUCAGCAGCCUGCCUUCUCCUCGCGAGCUGGGAGCAGCGUGAGGAAGUUGGGAAAGUAGCCUGGGGCACUCCUCCCGAGACGAGUCGAAGAUGUGCAGGAGAUGCGGGAGCGCCCCUCGCAUUCCAAGGAAUGAGACCCUCCAAAGUGACUUGUGUAUUAAGAAGAGGUCUGAAGAGAUGUCCAGGGUCUGUCAAAGGCAGCUGGAGGUGCUCAUCAUUUUUAUCCAUCCCAGAACCCAGUGCGGGAAGGGGCUCUCUCCUCUGCUGUAGCCCCCGUUUCCAACCAGUUCUGAUGGUGAUGGGCCUAAAGCAUUAACAUAAGCCACACUGGCUUCAGUGUUGGCAUUUUGUACCAUAAUCUCAUCUCCAUGUUUUUACUGCAAAGGGACAUCAAGAGUCCUGAAUCCCAAACCUUCAGCUAUUAAUGUAAGAAGAUCUACAGAAGACCAAACAACCUCAUAUCAAAGUGGAGAUCAGUGGAUAUAUGAUUGAACAUAUGUUACAACAUAUGCCCAUUUUAUUUUAACGUUCUUAAAAUUGUUUUCUAAUAUUCAAAUUCAUAAUUUAAUUUUAAAAGCAGACAAAUUAUAGACCAAAUAAAAAAGUAAAUUAUGGACUGUAAAGAAAAUCAAAAU